AAUUCAAACACUGUUUAAACUAAACUUAAAAUAAAUGAGUGGUAAAUGAGAGAGAAGAGGGGGAGAGAACCCUGAUUAAAAA